CUUUAUCUCACUAAAGCCUCCAACUAAACAUCGUUAAGCCCUCCAAUUAAACAUCAUUAAACAUCAGUAAAUGGGUUUACUGAAGAAAAAGAGCUGCAGAAAGAUGGUCCAAAGAGUUAAUAUGUGGCGGAGAUGGAUCUUGAACCCAGCCAGUAUAGUGUAUAAAAUGUUUGUUAACAGACUCUCCACUGAAGCUCUGCCAUCAGGUCAUAGGACUGACAAUGACCACAGACCCAGGACAAAUGGCCGUUCAUGCAUCUGCCACUCAGAAGAGCGCGAGCCUCACAGAGUUUCAGAGGAGGCAUGCUGGUCAGGGGACCAGAGACAGAAGCUGAGAUGUGAAGAUGGUCAAACCGAUUGAGGCAAGGAAUGUCAAGGGCUUCCUGUGGCCCCACUGGGAGCCCAUCGGCAACACGAAUGACUCCCGCCAUGUGCAGCUCCUGAAUUCUUCCAGCCCUUCUGCAACAUGUAUCAUCGGGUACUCUUAGCCCAAGGCUUUGCAUAGUUCUCAAGUGUAGAACCUAACCUCAUUCUUCUCCAGGCUGGAUCUGUUCAACCAUCAGGCCCACCCUGUUGAAUACCACUUUGACCCUCCAAGAUAUGGUUCCAGAGGCACCCGCAGGAUUCCAGGUUUUGUCUCAGAAGCACGUGAUGGAUUUUCCCUCUGCUAUCCCUUUCUUGUCCCCAGUAGUCUCGUGGACUGACUUCUGGAUGAGCACCUCCUAAGUACCAGGUACUGUGAUCAUGUAACCCUAGAACGCCUCUGCGAAGGACUGACAUUGUCUGUGUUAUAGAUGAAGCAAUUGAAGUUCCAAGACAAUAGAAAACUCGUGAAAAAACCAUGCAUGCAGGAUCCCGGCCUAGGUUCAUGGCAUGCCAUCACAUACUCACUCCAGUUCAGGAAGCCCCCAGCCUGUGUUUCUCUGCUGUAAAAUGGAUUCAAUCAUGCCGAUCUCAUACAAUUGCUGUGAAAUUUCAAUGAGAAUCCCAUAAAGCCCUCAGCACAGCACCUGGACAAUGAGUGGGUGCUGGCUGACAGUAGCAAGAAAAGAGGCAUCCCCUCCUAGCCCUCCUAAGAAAUUACUGCUCAUUGCCUUGAGGGAAGAAACAGGGCAGGAAGGAAACGGAUGCUGAGCAUCCUUAGGAAUAUUCGGUUUCUUCUCCCUAUAUGAACUAAGUUGCUCCCCAAUUCCUGAGCCCUCGUGGCUCUGAUCAGGCAGGCACUUGUAGGUGAGAAUCCAGGCUGCAUAAAAGCCUGAAGCAUUUGUUCGAGAAUUAAAAAGUCAGCCUGUGUGCCCCCCCCAUUAAAUUCCCUGUGGGUGAGCUGGUUAACAGUGGGGCCUCACGCGAUAAGCCAUUAA
rnacentral:lncRNA from 1 species